rnacentral:rRNA from 1 species
GACGAACGCUGGCGGCGUGCUUAACACAUGCAAGUCGAAUGAUGAAGCCGGAGCUUGCUCUGGUGAAUUAGUGGCGAACGGGUGAGUAACACGUGAGUAACCUGCCCUUGACUCUGGGAUAACUGCGGGAAACUGUAGCUAAUACCGGAUACGACCCUCGGAGGCAUCUCCUGGGGGUGGAAAGAAUUUCGGUCAAGGAUGGACUCGCGGCCUAUCAGCUAGUUGGUGAGGUAAAGGCUCACCAAGGCGACGACGGGUAGCCGGCCUGAGAGGGUGACCGGCCACACUGGGACUGAGACACGGCCCAGACUCCUACGGGAGGCAGCAGUGGGGAAUAUUGCACAAUGGGCGCAAGCCUGAUGCAGCAACGCCGCGUGAGGGAUGACGGCCUUCGGGUUGUAAACCUCUUUUAGUAGGGAAGAAGCGAAAGUGACGGUACCUGCAGAAAAAGCACCGGCUAACUACGUGCCAGCCGCCGCAGUAA